CGAGAUAGCCGGUGGCACCCGCCUGCCAGGGCCGAUAAGGCUGCCGGAGGGAGUCUAGUCACCGGCCGCGAGGAGAGCCGGCGGGCUCUGCUGCCCCCUGCGGGGGUCUCCAGCCCCAGGGAGGGGCUCUCUGUUCUUUCGGGUCUGACUCUACCUUCUCUACCCCGCAGCCCCCAAGGAGACCCGCCUGACGACUAACGAGUUGCCAUGGCAUCCUACUACGAGAUCCUAGACGUACCGCGAAGUGCGUCCGCUGAUGACAUCAAAAAGGCAGCGUAAGCGUGAGAUCUACGACCUCUAUGGCCGGGAAGGGCUGACUGGGGCAGGUAGGUGGAGUGGGGACACCCCAGGACAGAAGUGGGUCAGGGAGGAGCAGGGAGGCCAGUCUUCUGCAGUGGAUUCUUGCUCUCACUCCAGGCUCCUGGAGUCUCCGAGCCUCGGGUGGGGUCCCCUCACUCAGGGCAAGGUGCCUGCCC
rnacentral:lncRNA from 1 species